AACCUGGGAACUGCAUUCGAAACUGGCAGGCUUGAGUCUUGUAGAGGGGGGUAGAAUUCCAGGUGUAGCGGUGAAAUGCGUAGAGAUCUGGAGGAAUACCGGUGGCGAAGGCGGCCCCCUGGACAAAGACUGACGCUCAGGUGCGAAAGCGUGGGGAGCAAACAGGAUUAGAUACCCUGGUAGUCCACGCCGUAAACGAUGUCUACUUGGAGGUUGUGCCCUUGAGGCGUGGCUUCCGGAGCUAACGCGUUAAGUAGACCGCCUGGGGAGUACGGCCGCAAGGUUAAAACUCAAAUGAAUUGACGGGGGCCCGCACAAGCGGUGGAGCAUGUGGUUUAAUUCGAUGCAACGCGAAGAACCUUACCUGGUCUUGACAUCCACAGAAGAAUCCAGAGAUGGAUUUGUGCCUUCGGGAACUGUGAGACAGGUGCUGCAUGGCUGUCGUCAGCUCGUGUUGUGAAAUGUU
rnacentral:rRNA from 1 species